rnacentral:lncRNA from 1 species
UUUUCAUUUUUUUUUAAUUUUUUCUCAAAAUCUACGAAUAUAUUGAAUUUUUCGGUAAAUGCUCUAUAUACAGAAGCCAAUGAUCUUUAGUGUUGUUAUAAAUUAUCUAAACACAUUCUACAUUUGUAUUAAUGUAUAUUUAACUUACUUUUAUGGUACAUGGGCAUUGUUUUAAUUUUUUGUCAAUUAAUUUAGUAAAAUUUCAUAAUACUCCAUAAAUUGGUGGACUAACCACUAUAAAUCGUUAUUUUCUAGAGAACCGUAGACAACAAAAGUUCCAAACCUCUUUGACCUUCA